GCGGGAGGCGGCCGGGCGGGGAAGGGGCUGGUUCCUGUCAGGGCGGCGGCGGGAAGCGCCUGAUUCCCCACAAGGUCCGACAUGGCCGCGGCUGCCGGUGCCACCAAACCGGGUUUUAAAGCUCGGGUGGUUUGCAAUUAGCAGUGCUAAUUAAGGCGCCGCCGUCGCCGGGCCUCUCAGGGGGCUUCUGGGUGGCCCCAUGCGCAUGGCUGAAGCGUGGCAUGGCAUCUUGGGUUGGGCCGCGUAACCGCACGGCUCUCAAGCACCUGGGGAGCUGCUGGGUGACGAUGUGAGCGAAAUUAAACCCUCCCGGAGCUGGAGGAGCACCCGGGCAUCUUCUUCCAUCUCCUAAACUCUGUAUUGAUUCCCAGGCAGAUGCGACUUGUUGAAUGUGGAUGGCCCCUGUCCCACCGCCUCCCCGACCGCCCGCGUGCUCAGAUUCCACAGCAUUUCGGAGGCUUCCUUGCUACAGAGAUCUUUAUUGCGUUGCAUCCGAAGAUGUUAUAUGGGAAACUUCAAUACAGAGGAGAAAAAAAGCAGCCCUGAGAAUGAAGCAGCAGGAGCUACACUGUCACCAGGAGCCUGUGCGCAUUACUCAGCCGCAAGAUCCCAUGACUUCUGUUUGGAGUUCUACCUCAAAAAGGUGCCCAUAUUUGAAUCCCAAUGCCCGCUAUUUCAUCUAAACAACAACACUGAAAUUGUCAGGGAGAAUGUUGUCCUCAAUAGCAAACUGGGUGAGGUUUACCAUGAGUUAGAUCAGGCACAUUACACACUUACACAUCAGUAAAUUCAUUUGAUUUUUGUCUCUGCUUUGAUUUGAGGGAGGAUAUUCUUACUCUAAGUACCAAAUGUGGAGACUGUUGUGCCAUGCUGAUGUCUUAUGCUCUGACCAUUAAAGAUCAUAUGUCACAGAGAUAAGAGAAAAAGAGUUUAGUAAAGUUACUCCAGACUUCUGUGGCAUGGCAGAGAAUCUGGGCCACUAACAAUUGCUUUUAGGUGUAUUUCAUCCUUGGAAAUUAUAUUUUGAUGAUCUAAAUUGUUCCUGAUCUUCCAGUUGGAAAAACAGUGGUUUUGCUUGUAAUCUUAAACCAUAUCUGACAACAUCUGAAUGAUGAAAAGAUGACUGUGUUGGAGGGGAAAUGGGAGAUAAACACUGACUUUAGAGAACACCUGAAAGAAAAGAGCAGAGAAAUGACACUGCUGUCUUUCAGCAUGGUCUUUGUUAUAUAGCCUCUAAAUAGUGUAGUGGUGGUCUUUCCUUUGGGCAAAACCACACCUGCUCAUUUCAUUAGUACCAGUGAACUUUGUAUUUAAUUUGCAAAGACUUUGUAUAAAUGGUAUUAUAUAAUCUUUUCCAUUUUAGAUAUUGUAAUUCCAUUCCAAAUAUGUCUUAAUUUGUUUAGAAUUGUAACUCUUUGUAUUCUUGAAUAAUUCAGACAGAGCUCUAUUAUUGUCUCCUUCUUUAUACCAAAAGAAAUUGAGAGAAGGAUCAAAUACUUACUGUCUUGGAUCAGUUUCUCUGUUUAUGAACAAGAAAAUACUGGGUCAUGAUUGCCAGUGCACAGUCAUUUACAGUUGUGCAAAAUCAGUACCAAAAAAAGACAAAUGUAACCCUUUUGUUUUCUCUCAGACUGCAGUAUUUGCUGUCAGCCCACAGUUCAGGUAUUUUGAAGGUUCAAGAUACAGGUCUUUGUUAUUUCUAUAGCAGAAUUGUAUCCAUUUUUUAUUUCUAAAAUCUGAAGAUAGGGUUCUCUUUUUAUUCAGUGAGUGCACAUGUCUAAUACUAGUAUUCAAAAUCGACAUAAUAACAUACAGUGAAAGAUGUCCAUCCUUCAGUGAACAGCUGCACUUCAAAAAAGAGCAUCAACACAGAUUACCCCCCACAGUGACAGUAAUGUACAGUAGUGUUAGGAAAAUGUGCAUUCGGGAACGGAUACUAAAACUGUUGUAUGACAGUCUUUUAUACGGAUGCAAGGAGAGACUUGAAAAACACAGAGCAAGGGAUCUACGUUUGGACGAGUUUGUCUUUUCCCAUCUGUGUUUACUUUUGCAUAUUCUCUUUUUUUCUCACCGAUUUCAGGAGGCCGUCUUUUUUGUUCAUUUCGCCAGCUAUGAAAUCGUCCCUAACUUACGGAAUUACAUAUGCUCAAACCAAACUCAUCAGGUUUUUAUAUAUUCCGUAUCACCUAUUUUGUGUCUCAUCAAAAUCUCACUGAUAUUCAACAGGCAGAGCUACUGUUCAUUCAUUUAAUCAGGAGACGAUGAUACCUAUUCUAAUCUAGGCCAGGCCAAAUAAAUUCCACAAUUAAUCUUUUAAUCAAAGGAUUUGUAUCAGGAAUUACUUUACCCAAUUGCUCUAGUAUGAGGGAAUCUGAAGAUAGUGUUUGAAUUUUUGAUCCUUAAUCUCACACUUAAAUCAACCAGCAUAGGUCCUGCAGUUUAUCAUUUUACGUUAGCCUUUGCUGGUAGCUGUUACUUAAUGGUUCCUUUUGUGCCUUUCUACCAGCUGCAUGGAAUGAGGAUUAUUUUAUUCUCCUGUCAGUAUAAAUCAGGAUCAACUUCCCUGGUAUUAAUGAAGUUAUGCUGAAUAAAACCAGUGUAAAUAAAAUGUGAACUGCCUGAAGUGGCAUUUUUAGAUUAUUUAGUGGUUAUCUGUUUCCAGUGAGCUGUUGAAAAAGGUUUCUAAACAAA